rnacentral:tRNA from 1 species
GUACUAGAAAUGAAAAAUCAUGUAUAGUUUCGGCCUAUAUUUUAAUAGCUUUUGCUAUUCUAGUAUU